ACAUGCAAGUCGAACGAAUCUCUUUUAGAGAUGAGUGGCGAACGGGUGAGUAAUACAUAGGUAACCUGCCCCUGUGCGGGGGAUAACAGGAGGAAACUCCUGCUAAUACCGCAUAGCCAUGAGCACCGCAUGGAGCUCAUGCCAAAUAUCCUUUCGGGGAUAGCGCAGGGAUGGACCUAUGGCGCAUUAGCUUGUUGGCGGGGCAACGGCCCACCAAGGCAACGAUGCGUAGCCGGCCUGAGAGGGCGGACGGCCACAUUGGGACUGAGACACGGCCCAGACUCCUACGGGAGGCAGCAGUAGGGAAUUUUCGGCAAUGGGGGAAACCCUGACCGAGCAACGCCGCGUGAGCGAAGAAGGCCUUCGGGUCGUAAAGCUCUGUUGUAAAGGAAGAACGGCGCAUACAGGAAAUGGUAUGCGAGUGACGGUACUUUACCAGAAAGCCACGGCUAACUACGUGCCAGCAGCCGCGGUAAUACGUAGGUGGCGAGCGUUAUCCGGAAUCAUUGGGCGUAAAGAGGGAGCAGGCGGCCGCAAGGGUCUGUGGUGAAAGACCGAAGCUAAACUUCGGUAAGCCAUGGAAACCGGGCGGCUAGAGUGCGGAAGAGGAUCGUGGAAUUCCAUGUGUAGCGGUGAAAUGCGUAGAUAUAUGGAGGAACACCAGUGGCGAAGGCGACGGUCUGGGCCGCAACUGACGCUCAUUCCCGAAAGCGUGGGGAGCAAAUAGGAUUAGAUACCCUAGUAGUCCACGCCGUAAACGAUGGUCACUAAGUGUCGGGGGUCAAACCCCGGUGCUGCAGUCAACGCAAUAAGUGACCCGCCUGAGUAGUACGUUCGCAAGAAUGAAACUCAAAGGAAUUGACGGGGGCC
rnacentral:rRNA from 1 species